ACUGUGAUGACAAACUUACCCAGCUCGCUUCGAUCUACCAUGAAGAGAACUGUUCCAAUCCAACGCAAAAUACUAAACAGCUGAUU
rnacentral:snoRNA from 1 species